AGGGAAUCUUCCACAAUGGACGAAAGUCUGAUGGAGCAAUGCCGCGUGAGUGAAGAAGGUUUUCGGAUCGUAAAACUCUGUUGUGAGGGAAGAACAAGUACAGGAGUAACUGUCUGUACCUUGACGGUACCUCAUUAGAAAGCCACGGCUAACUACGUGCCAGCAGCCGCGGUAAUACGUAGGUGGCAAGCGUUGUCCGGAAUUAUUGGGCGUAAAGCGCGCGCAGGCGGCCUUUUAAGUCUGAUGUGAAAGCCCACGGCUCAACCGUGGAAGGUCAUUGGAAACUGAAGGGCUUGAGUACAGAAGAGGAAAGCGGAAUUCCACGUGUAGCGGUGAAAUGCGUAGAGAUGUGGAGGAACACCAGUGGCGAAGGCGGCUUUCUGGUCUGUAACUGACGCUGAGGCGCGAAAGCGUGGGGAGCAAAC
rnacentral:rRNA from 1 species